CUGCCCGGUGCUCGAAGGUUAAUUGAUGGGGUUAGCAUUAGCGAAGCUCUUGAUCGAAGCCCGAGUAAACGGCGGCCGUAACUAUAACGGUCCUAAGGUAGCGAAAUUCCUUGUCGGUUAAAUACCGACCUGCAUGAAUGGCGUAACGAGAUGGGAGCUGUCUCAAAGAGGGAUCCAGUGAAAUUGUAGUGGAGGUGAAAAUUCCUCCUACCCGCGGCAAGACGGAAAGACCCCGUGGACCUUUACUACAGCUUGACACUGCUACUUGGAUAAGAAUGUGCAGGAUAGGUGGGAGGCUUUGAGUAUAUGACGCCAGUUGUAUAUGAGCCAUUGUUGAGAUACCACUCUUUCUUAUUUGGGUAGCUAACCAGCUUGAGUUAUCCUCAAGUGGGACAAUGUCUGGUGGGUAGUUUGACUGGGGCGGUCGCCUCCCAAAUAAUAACGGAGGCUUACAAAGGUU
rnacentral:rRNA from 1 species